CCGGGAUCCCAUUACCCUUUCAGUCUCGGGGACGGCUUUCACUGAGGGAGAGGCAGAGCGAGCAUCGCUGCCUCCUCGCCUCCGUCUCUCUCCUCUCGUCCUCGCCGUGCAGCACCUCGUUCCACCCGUCUCUCCAUCCCUCCUGUCGUCCUCCACGGCCCGCCACGCGUCCUGCGCUUUCCUGACCCUGACCUCGCCCUGACCCAAGGCACCGUAAAGCUGCAGUGCGUGCAGAGAGUGUGUACCGACGCAUGUGCGGACUACACACACAUCAGAUUAACAGCGGAUGUAAUCCGUCAAACACUUUAAAGACCUGACCCACAGGAACCGGC
ensembl:lncRNA